AAAAUCAAGAGCAACCCGUGAUGAGGAUGACGAUUUUGCUUUUGAUUUUAGUGGUCAGUUAGAGAGAAGUUCUGUAUCAGCUGCUGAUGAGCUUUUUGAUGGUGGAAAAAUCAAGCCUUUGAAAUUGAAGCCACCACCAAGGUUACAGUAUGAAGGCAAACCAUUUGAUUCGCCGAAAUCUCCAAUGAAAAAGUUCAAGCAAGCUUUCUCUCCCCGAAACAAGAAGAAAGAAUUAGAUCCAUUUGCAGCAGCCCUAGAACAGAGUAGUCGAACAGGAUGGGCGGGAGAAAUCUCCAAUGAAAAUGUUCAAGCAAGCUUUUUCUCCCCGAAACAAGAAGAAAGAAUUAGAUCCAUUUGCAGCAGCCCUAGAACAGAGUAGUCGAACAGAAAAUGAUCGCCCUGGUAGGGAAAGAACUCAGCACUCUACAAAUUCUUCAAGGCACAAAAAGACAAGAUCUUUAUCUCCUUUCAGAGCUUCCGAUCUACUGUUUGAUAGUGAAAAGCAAGAAAAUACAGACAUAUCUGAUUCUCCUUCUUCUUCUUCUUCAUUUUCGUCGAUGAUAACACUAUGGUACAGAAAAUGGAAGCUGAAAGAUUUGUUUCUAUUCAGAAGCGCGUCAGAGGGCAGAGCAAGUAAUAAAGAUCAGUUAAACAAGUUUUUGAAGAAAACUCAUAGUAAAGAGGAUGUGAAGACUUCAAGCUUUAGAUCAACUGCUAGUAGUGUUGGAUCGUCAUCGGUAUCAAGCUCCUUGAAGAAGAGGGAGGUUUCGGCUCAUGAAUUGCAUUACACGUUGAAUAAGGCACUCUCUGAGGAGAUGAAGAGGAAAACUUUCUUGCCAUACAAGAAUGGCGUACUGGGUUGCUUAGGCUUCAUUCCUUCAAUGGAUGAUACAAGUUUUAGAGGUGUUGCUUCUUCUAUGUCCAUGACUCGUCGUUAAUGAGUCUCUAUCUUUAAGAAACGAAAAAACAUUUACGUGUAUUUGGCAAGAGUUGUAUAUAUUGUGCUUAUAAGACAUUCAUCCCAAAUCUCCUAUGCAGCAAAUUAUUUCUACAAUACAUCUGUAAGAAACGAAAAAAACAUUAAAUAUUUAAGUUACUAUGGAUUCGUAUACGUGUAUUUGGCAAGACUCGUAUAUAUUGUGCUUAUAAGACUCGUAUCUGAUCAACUCAUCAUAACAGUUCAUGUUUAAUUUAUGAUAAUUACUCGAAUUGCUACACUGCUCGAAUCUCCAGCCCCUCCGAAAAGGAGCAUCCCCACAAAAGAAAAAAUGCAUGCUGCUUACAGAAAGAAAGCAUCACGUCAUAUUCCUUUCCAAACGAUAGGAUCUUCAUUCUAUAUCUUCUUCAUGAGUCCAGGAAAAUGCUUUCAUUUUCUUUUGUUUUUUGGAGGUUAGGUUUUAUGUCGCUCUUCUUAGUGUUUUAACCUCAUAAUUUUAAUUUACAAGGUAAAGAUACAUGCCAAACCCCACGUCACCUAGAGACGGAUUGAAAAAAAAAACAUCACGGCGCUGUCUAUAGAAUGAAGAGGUUCUUUCUUACAACAAAAUUGUGCUUUCUUUUUCAUUCUAUGUAACACUCUUUUAUUUUUUAGGCAAAAUAGUUAAGUUACCUUUGAAUUAUUGAUGAAAUUCCUGUUAUAAACUUUUUGCAGACAAAAAAAUUAUCUUAUGUUUUACCAAUAAAAUAAGGCAUGUGAAGAAACAAAAAUAUAGAUAUGAUGUUUUAUUUAAACAAUUCAAAUCUCACAAAAUUUAUCUAACGGUUCAAAUUGAUUUUUCUUUUUCUUUUCUUUCUUUUAUUCCUUUUUCUUUUACAUUAUUUUGUUCAUUUUUCAAUGAAACAAAAAGCUCUCCCGUGUUUGUCUUCUUCAAUCCCCCAUACCCCAAACCGGUCGUUGUUUUAUUUCCUUUGAAAAGUCCAAUAAUGAAGCUUGAUAUCCUAUGGAAUUUAAAAGGCUGAGAGAGAUAGUGUUUUUUGGAAGAAAAAUCUUUUGGGUUUCUCCAUAUUAAUGGAGAUUGGUUGAUGAGAAGGUAAAUUUAUGGUUGAUGUUGUCUUCAAUUAGAGUCUUCACUGCUCUUUGCAACUCUCUUUUGAGUUCAGCCACCACCUUGGCUGCCAGCGCAGUCCUCCUCUGCCAUCUAUGGUGGUUCUUGCCAUCCUUGAUUUUUAUGAAGAAUAAAAUGGAAUUUAAAGAUUUUAGCAGAAAGAUAAUAAGUUCUUACCUAAAAAGUUAACCCAGAUUAUUAUUAUGGGAUUCUUUUAGAGUGAAAGAAAAAUAAUUUUAAUGGAGAUUGUGAGGUUUGGGAUGAUGAUGCGCUGGUGGUAGAGAACUUCACAUAGCUAAUUUUUGAUUGAAGAAUAGUGGUUGGAGAUGGAAGGCAAGAUUUAAUUGUAACCGAUCGAAGAGAAGGCAACCAUGGUGAUGGAUUUAAUGAAGAAGAUAGAUCUAAUUAUAAUUUAAAGGUUUUUUCUUUUUUUUAAAAAAAUAAGUUAAUGACACGUGUCACUAUUUGAUUGGAGCGUGAAUUACACAUGUUUUGAAAAAUUGGUCAAGAAAAAAGUAGAGUGUAUUAGACACACUUCCAAAUUUUUUAUCCUUACAAAAAAUGAUAUAUUUUAUGUUAUUUAGAAAUAAUAUAUAUUUACACUUCUUUUGUGGUUUCGGGACUUGAAACAAGUCUAUUAUAUUAUUUGGGACUAGUGUGUAAAAUUUGGAGUCAUUCACUACAAGAAAUUCGAUAUUUUCCAACUACCAAAAUAGUCGGAAAGUAGCCGGGAAAGUGCCUAUUCCGACAACUUUCCGACUGAUUUAGAGUAGUCGGAAAAAGAUUGGUCGGAAAAAAAAUUUCGACUACUGUAGUAGGAAAAUAUUUUCCACCAAAAAUUAAAAAAACAUCUAUUUCCGACUACUGUAGUGAGGAUAUUAUACAAAUAAUAAUUAUUUAUUAGUUAUUUAUUAUAAUUUCUGACUACAGUAGUCGGAAUCUCUAAUAUUCUAGCCUCACUUUCUGAUUAUCGUAGUCGGAAAAUCAUUAUGCUGGACACACUUUUCGAUUACAGUAGUCGGAAAACUGGGUUGAAAUUUGACAGCAUGCUGCCAUUUUAUUAGCACAUCACCCGUCAAAUGCAAAAUACUAUGACCAACCAAUUCGAACAUCAACACAAACAUUCAAAUCCCAUAAUGUCAAACCAAAAUAUUACUUAACGUCGAAAUAUUUAAUAUAAAAUUUGAGUAGCUAAUACAUACCAACACUAAUAUAAUAAAGUCUAAACAUACAUAUACCACGUCAUUCAAUAUUCCUUUGCAUUUCUCCCAUUUCUUCGUGAUUAGGAGCUUCCCAAAAUAAUGGCAAUGGACGAAAAGAGGAAGGCCGUUGUACUCCAAGCUCGUAAACUCUUCCUUUGAAUACACCACCUUCUACAUCCGUCCAUAUUGAAGUCAUAACAUCAGGUGACGGUUGGAUUGGAGUACCAUCAUCAGAAGCAGACUGCAUCUGACACCAUUCAUCCAAGCUUCUAUGAAACCCAUCCUGAAAUAAAAGUAAUAAGGAUUAAUAGCAGAUGCGUGACCUGCUGCAACAGAGAUUAUGGUAGCAGCUGAUUUAACUGAUGCUGGUGUUAAGAGGAUCUGUUGUUAAAGGGGCUGAGCAAAUUGCUAAUGGACAAAGGCAGGAAAAGGAUCAACAAAGUAUAAAAGUUACAAUUACAAGCACUCCUGCUAAAACUGAAGUGAUUUCAGCUGCCUUGCAUGGGAAAUCAUUAGUUUAUGCUCAAAGCCAGAAGGAUCGAGCUAUUGUUAAUGGGUCACGACCAGCUGCUGCUAAUGCCCAAACUCAACAUGCCUGUUAAUGGGUCACGACCAGCUGAUGCUAAUGCCCAAACUCAACAUGCACGUGAAAUAAUUGGCAAAACAGCAGUUGGGCAGAUUUUUCAAAGUGAUAUGGAUGCCUCCAUUGCUGCCUUAAAAACAAAUAAGGAUCAAGUGUUUGUUUCUGUUGAACCGUUGGAGAAAUCUACAGGGCAGUCCGACCUUCGUAUAGACACAACUUACUCCUCUUCUACUUUGGUGCGCAAGAAAGGCUUAAGCAUCAUUGAUUUUUUUUUUGCCUACUGGGCAGCAGCAAACUUCAGCAAUUAUUUUGAAGGAUUUGCCCAAUGCUAAGGGAAACAACAAGUCCUUAAUUCCAAGUGGUAAGAUAAUUUUUGGGGAUCAACAAGCAAUGCAAAAUGUGCAAGACAGAGUAACUGGGCAGCAGCGAAUUGGGUAUAGUACAUCAGCUAUUUCGGCAGAAGAUCUAAGGCUACUGGAUGCUUUGGCAGUAGAAGCACCAGUACAGCAAUAGCUGAUUGAGAACAAAUGCAGCACACACCAGUUAAGUACAACAAGCUCAAAGACAACAACAGGGAAGAAGAAGAAGAAGAAAAAAGUGCAACAAAAGCAGAUUGAUGUGCCUCGAGGAAGUAUGAGGACAAAAUUAGGAGAAGAAGAAGAAAAAGGUGCAACAAAAGCAGAUUGAUGUGCCUCGAGGAAGUAUGAGGACAUAAUUAGAUCUACUCCUGAAGAUAAGGGACAAUUUUGCCUAAAAACUCUGAAAAUAGUCUUAAAGUUAUGAUCUUACAUAUUGUUCCAAUGCACGUGUCUCAACCCAUCCUUCCCUUGAACGGUCCUUCUUCUUUUUCUUAUGUGUCUUCGCAAAGACCUCAGCAUCACACACUGGUCCCCCUUUUAAAUUUUCCUGCAAAUAAAAUGUAAUUUUUCUAGUGAUGUCCAAAUAAAUGCCGCAUCGAUAACAUUGUGUCUCAAGUGAAGAGUGCAUAAUGCGACAAUAGUCAAGAGAAAGUGUGUAUAUAUAUAAGGAUUAACUAGUAGUAACUAUUAGGAGUAUAACUUAUCUGAUAAUUUAAGGAUAAUAACUUAUCAGAAUCUUGGAAAUAUAGAAAAGUACAACUGAGAAUUGAUUGUAGUCCAAUAUAUGAGAAUAACUUAUCAGAAUCUUGGAAAUGUAGAAAAGUACACCUGAGAAUUGAUUGUAGUCCAAUAUAAGAUGUGACUUAUUUUUGUGUCUGACUUGUCAAUUGGUAAACAUUAAUUGACCCUCUUAUUUUCUUGUGCGCAAUCAGGGGAAAGUAUAAUAAACUAUUUAAACAAGUGUAGAUCGCGGAUUGUAUUGAGUAUAAAUGAUGAAAUACACACUUCAUAAAGUAAGCAAGGAUGCAGCUGUCAGCACAGAGAAGAUAAAUUCAUUUUUUUAUUGAGAAGACCAAUACAAUCCAACUAGGCAUGAUGAAACACAAAUAGUAAUUUUAACAAUCUGGUUAUAGCUAACCAAACAACUUGCUGAUUCUUGUUGUGUCACCAAACAAAUUUUUAAGUUCAUUAGUAGUAGAAGAACCGAAGGUUAAUAGAUUACGUAAAAUUCUGUAACUAUUUAAGAAUUGGAGUAUCACAUUAUUCUCCUGUCAAAACCUUUAUGUCUUUGUUAACCUGAUCCUAGGAUUUCAUCAAUCCAUGAAGUGACGGAUUACACUUCUGCUGUCUACUAGAAAGCACAUUCGGACAGUCAAAGGAUUAAUAAAGAAUACUUAAGACUCCAUGCAAUAGCGGAUUACACUUCUGCGGUCUGCCAGAAAGCACAUUCGGACAGUCAAAGGAUUACCAAAGAAUACUUAAGAGUCCAUGCAAUUGUAAGAGAAUCUCUUAAAAGUUACACCAGGAUAAAUCCAUAGUAAGAGCAUGACAGUACUAAUUAACUAUUCACAGAGAUCCAUGAAGACAAAAAAUCACAGCAAAGAAGUAACACAAAAAUGUUCAGCUCGAUGAUCACAUGCACAUAAUAAAUACGGAGUAUGAUAAGAGUUAAAAACAUAAAUCGCAUCCAAAUAAAUUAUCCAAGGAAACCUCAGCUUGGUGAUCACAUGCACAUAAUAAAUACGGAGUAUGAUAAGAGUUAAAAACAUAAAUCGCAUCCAAGGAAACUCUUGAGAAAUCUAGAAGUGAUGCUUCUGAUAUAGCAGCACAACUACAGUAGUCGAGGCAUCUUUGCUCCAAGUUUGAAGCUGAGGAAUAUUGAUGAGACAAAAUGUGGUGCAGUGCUCUUAGCUGCGGAGCUGACCACUAGGGAACUUCUAAAGAAAACAAAUGAAGAAAUGCAGACCAUGUCCAAUGAACUAGCGGCUGUUACUGAAAAUCGUGAUAACUUACAGAUGGAGCUAGUUGAUGUCUACAAGAAAGCAGAACGUGCUGCUGAUAAACCGAAACAAGAAAAGAAUAUUGUCGUGACACCGGAGAAAGAGCUAACAUUUUUGGAGGCUCAAAUUACAAGAGAGAAAGAGUCACGGAAGAAUCUGGAAGAGAGUUGGAAAGGGCUACUGAAUCACUUGAUGAGAUGAACCGAAAUGCUUUUGGCACAUGUCCAAUUGACUAGUUAUAUUUCCAACAACAAUAAUAUUCGGAGAAAGAUCACUUAGUACUAUGCUAAAUAUUGUAAUAAUUAUAUAGUAUUAUUUCAUUAUUUCAUUCUAACUUAAAGUGAAAUGAAUAACAUGUAAAUAUAAAUUACUAGUUAACCCCUAGCAUCAAAGUGAAACUAAAAUUUCAAAUUUACACAAAUGAAAUCCAACCAUUUAAUUAUUGGCAAACAAGGUAACAUGAAGAAUGAGGCAAGUCAACAACAACAACAACAACCUAGUAUAAUCCCACUUAGUGAGGUCUGGGAGGGUAGUAUGUACGCAGUCCUUACCCCUACCCUUGGGUAGAGAGGCUGUUUUCAAAUAGACCCCCGACAUCCUUCCGUCCAAGAACUUCUCGCCUUGCUCUUGGGGAGACUCGAACUCACAACUUCUCGGUUGGAAGAGGGGGUUGCUUACCAUCAGAGUGACCCCUCUUGAAAAUAUAUCUUUAUAUAAGAGGCAAGUCCUAUGACUUAUAUAAAGAUAUAUUUUCUGAAACAUAUAUUUUAAAUAAAAAAUAUUAUAUAGAUAUACCUGUCGCAGCAAGGACGAAACUAAAAAAUAAAAGUCAAAAUGGAUGAUGAACCGGUAGUGCCAACCUUCCUUUAGUUAUCAACCUUUGUACUCUUUAGACUUCUACAAAAUCAAGAUGACUUGUAUGAGUGAACGUGGAUAUGUGAUGAGAACAUAAGAUCUUGUUUUAUUCUAUCUACGUAUUACUAGGAUUAACUAAGAUCAAACAGAAAAAGGAGCAUUUAAGUGAACUAUAUAUAACACAAAUGUAUUUAGUAGACUACAAACGGUAAUGAUGCAACAGAAUGGAAAAAAUAUUGGUACAUAAGCUUAAGGGCUACUAUUUAGUGAUUCUAAUUCUCCACGCAUAUGUUAAAAGCUCCUGAAAUUAAAAUUAUUAUAAGACCAUAAUUAGUAUCAUGAUUAUCGAAUUGUUUCCAUGAGAGUGCUUUCUAAACUUUUGAUCACUACAAUAAGGAUAUAGCCAGCAAGGUCUGGAGUUGGAAAAUAAUCUUAAUCCAUCCAAAUCUCUAAAUGAAAGGUAGUAUUAAUUUGAAACUGAAAGUAAAUUCUUAACAUCAUCAAAGUCCAAGACUCCACCUAACUAAAUCCUUUCUACGUGAUGACAGAAGAUUAGAUCGAUGACUUCAUGGGAAGAGAAAACAAUUAUACUAAUGUUCAUUCAUUUGAUCAUGCUACACAUAAAAAAUGCAAGAUAAAUAUGGGAUGCGUGGUGCAGACAACCAGCAUCUGUUCUGUACAAAUAGUAAUUAACCACAAUAACUGAUGUUCAUGAAUGUAUAUAUCCAAUGGAAUAUAGAAAUUGAAUACCUGCAAAAUCAAACCAAACAACCAGCACUGAAAUGGUAUAGAAAUUGAACCAAGCUACAAAUCUGCAAUCACAAAUGAGAAAAUCGAAAGCAAAAAAUUAAACAAAUUAUAAAAAGAGAAUACUGCCAGAAUCAUCCUGAAUAUGCUGAAUACCUGCAAAAUCAACCAAAACAACCAGCUCUAAAAUGGUAUAGAAAUUGAACCAAGCUACAAAUCUGCAAUCACAAAUGAGAAAAUCGAAAACAAAAAAUUAAACAAAUUAUAAAAAGAGAAUACUGCCAGAAUCAUCUAAGAUUUUCUUGCACUACACCUACAAGAAACGAAAGGGAUUCCCUUUUGUUUUUUGUUCACUUGUACAUGUCUCAGCUUUUAAUAAAAUUACCUUCAAAUUCAAAAAAAUAGUAUACAAAAAUUUCACUUCUCCUAUACGUGACGCAGUAGUAUCUCGCUCCGGCGAUCCUCGAGAACGGCGUGGUGAGCUCAAGCUCUGAUUAAUUAUCGAAGAGAAUGAAAAGCUACUGACUUUUAAAAUAUUGGUUAAACUCAUGCAAUUUGACUCUUGAGUUUCAGAUCUUCAUUAUCGAAGAGAAUGAAAAGCUCUGAUUAAAAUCAAAACCCUAGUGGCGCCGUUGAUUUUGCACACUAAAAUCGAAACCCUAAUCUUGGACGAAGAUUAUACGGGAAAGAGAGAGAUAGAGCGUACCUGAUGAAGCCCCAUCGCCGAUUUCCCAGUGUCGUUGAGAGAAGCGGCAUCGUUGAGAGAGAGGCGGAGAUAUAGAGAAAGAGACAGAGCAAGAGAGUAUUUUUAUAUAAUUGUUUUAAAAGUAUUUUUGACUUUAUUAUCAUACGAUUCGACUAUAGUAGUCGGAAACUUCUAUAUGGGCAAUUUUCCGCGCAACUUUAUAAUUAUAUUAGGCAAAAACAUAAUCAAAAUAAUUCAUAAAAAUAAAUU
rnacentral:lncRNA from 1 species